UCAAGCUAAUAAGGGCGUUCGGUGGAUGCCUUGGCGCUAAGAGCCGAAGAAGGACGCGGUAAGCUGCGAAAAGCUACGACGAGCUGCAAGCAAGCUACGACUCGUAGAUAUCCGAAUGGGAAAACCCCACUGGAGUAAUAUCCAGUGAUCCUAUAGCCAAUCCAUAACUAUAGGAAGGCAACCUGGGGAACUGAAACAUCUAAGUACCCAGAGGAAAAGAAAGAAAACUCGAUUCCCCUAGUAGCGGCGAGCGAAGAGGGAGAAGCCCAAACCAGCACUAAGGUGCUGGGGUUGUAGGACCUCCAUCACGGAAUGGAACCAUAGCCGAAGGACUUGGGAAAGUCCAUCACAGAAGGUAAAAAUCCUGUAGGCGAAAUGGCGAAAGACCAGGAGGGAUCCUGAGUACCACGAGGCACGUGAAAUCUCGUGGGAAUCCGGGGAGACCACUCCCCAAGGCUAAAUACUCCUUAGCGACCGAUAGAGAACAAGUACCGUGAGGGAAAGGUGAAAAGCACCCCUGGAGGGGAGUGAAAAAGAACCUGAAACCGAGCGCUUACAAGCUGUCACAGCACCAUACGAGUGUAGUGGCGUACUUUUUGUAGAACGGACCGGCGAGUUGCGUUAACAAGCGAGGUUAAGUAGAAGAUACGGAGCCGAAGCGAAAGCGAGUCUUAAGAGGGCAAGAGUUUGUUGACGCAGACCCGAAACCGGGUGAUCUACCCAUGAGCAGGAUGAAGCGUUAGUAAAAUAACGUGGAGGUCCGAACCAGGUAACGUUGAAAAGUUAUUGGAUGACUUGUGGGUAGGGGUGAAAUUCCAAUCGAACCCGGAGAUAGCUGGUUCUCCUCGAAAUAGCUUUAGGGCUAGCCUUAAUGGAGGUUAAUGGAGGUAGAGCACUGAAUUGGCUAGGGGGCCUCACCGCUUACUGAACCAUAUCAAACUGCGAAUGCCAAUAACUGCUCAUUAGGAGUCAGACUGUGGGGGAUAAGCUUCAUGGUCAAAAGGGAAACAGCCCAGACCGCCAGCUAAGGUCCCAAAGUGGAUGUUAAGUGGAAAAGGAUGUGAAAUCGCUCAGACAACCAGGAUGUUGGCUCAGAAGCAGCCACCAUUUAAAGAGUGCGUAAUAGCUCACUGGUCCAGGGGUUUUGCGCCGAAAAUGUAACGGGGCUCAAACAUGCCACCGAAGCUGCGGAAUUGUGCAGAGAUGUAUAAUUGGUAGAGGAGCGUUCUUAACACGACGAAGGUAUACUGAAAAGAGUGCUGGAGAGUUAAGAAGUGAGAAUGCCGGUAUAAGUAUGCGAAAAGGCAGGUGAGAAUCCUGCCCGCCGAAAAUCUAAGGAUUCCUGGGGAAGGCUCGUCCGCCCAGGGUAAGUCGGGACCUAAGGCGAGGCCGAAAGGCGUAGUCGAUGGAAAACUGGUAGAGAUUCCAGUACCACCAGAGGUUGCUUGAGUGAAGUAGUGACGCAGAAAGAUAGGGAGAGCGCCCAGAUGGUGAGGCGUUUAAGUAAGUAGGGUGAUGAGUAGGCAAAUCCGCUCAUUAAAAGCCUGAGAUACGAAUACGAGUGAAAACUAGUAACGAAGUCCCCGAUUCUCCGCUGCCAAGAAAAGCUGCUAACGAGACCAAAGGUGCCCGUACCGUAAACCGACACAGGUAGAUGGGGUGAGAAACCUAAGGCGCGCGAGAAAACUCUUGUUAAGGAACUCGGCAAAAUGAACCCGUAACUUAGGGAGAAGGGUUGCUCUCCGUUGUGAGUAUCCAAGCGAUACAGAGCAAAAGAGAGUCGCAGAGAAAAGGUCCAGGCGACUGUUUAGCAAAAACACAGGUCAUUGCAAAAUCGGAAGAUGAAGUAUAAUGGCUGACGCCUGCCCGGUGCUGGAAGGUUAAGGGGAAAUGUGAGAGCAUAGAACCGAAGCCCCAGUAAACGGCGGCCGUAACUAUAACGGUCCUAAGGUAGCGAAAUUCCUUGUCGGGUAAGUUCCG
rnacentral:rRNA from 1 species